rnacentral:rRNA from 1 species
GUGCCAGCAGCCGCGGUAAUACGUAGGGUGCAAGCGUUAAUCGGAAUUACUGGGCGUAAAGCGUGCGCAGGCGGUUUUGUAAGUUUGUCGUGAAAGCCCCGGGCUCAACCUGGGAAUUGCGAUGAAGACUGCAAGGCUUGAAUCUGGCAGAGGGGGGUAGAAUUCCACGUGUAGCAGUGAAAUGCGUAGAGAUGUGGAGGAACACCGAUGGCGAAGGCAGCCCCCUGGGUCAAGAUUGACGCUCAUGCACGAAAGCGUGGGGAGCAAA